rnacentral:rRNA from 1 species
GACGAACGCUGGCGGCGUGCCUAAUACAUGCAAGUAGAACGCUGAAGGAGGAGCUUGCUCUUCUGGAUGAGUUGCGAACGGGUGAGUAACGCGUAGGUAACCUGCCUGGUAGCGGGGGAUAACUAUUGGAAACGAUAGCUAAUACCGCAUAAGAGUAGAUGUUGCAUGACAUUUACUUAAAAGGUGCAAUUGCAUCACUACCAGAUGGACCUGCGUUGUAUUAGCUAGUUGGUGGGGUAACGGCUUACCAAGGCGACGAUACAUAGCCGACCUGAGAGGGUGAUCGGCCAGCCUGGGACUGGGACACGGCCCAGACUCCUACGGGAGGCAGCAGUAGGGAAUCUUCGGCAAUGGACGGAAGUCUGACCGAGCAACGCCGCGUGAGUGAAGAAGGUUGUCGGAUCGUAAAGAUCUGUUGUAAGAGAAGAACGAGUGUGAGGGUGGAAAGUUCACGCUGUGACGGUAUCUUACCAGAAAGGGACGGCUAACUACGUG